UAAGGAAUAUUGCUCAAUGGGAGACAUCCUGAAGCAGCAACGCCGCGUGGAGGAUGAAGGGUCUAUGACUUGUAAACUCCUGUAAAGAAGGAAAAAAUUCCCAUUUGAUGGGAGAUGAUGGUACUUCUGGAGUAAGCCCCGGCUACCUACGUGCCAGCAGCCGCGGUAAUACGUAGGGGGCAAGCGUUGUCCGGAUUUACUGGGGUUAAAGGGUGCUCAGGCGGAUUUGUAAGUCAGAGGUGAAAUCUUACAGCUUAACUGUGAAACUGCCUUUGAUACUGCAAGCCUAGAGUAUGGAAGAGAGGGAUGGAAUAUCCGGUGUAGAAGUGAAAUGCGUAGAUAUCAGAUAGAACAACAAUGGCGAAGGCAGUCACUUGGUCCAUUACUGACGCUAAAGCACGAAAGCGUGGGUAGCAAACA
rnacentral:rRNA from 1 species